UACGGAGGAUCCAAGCGUUAUCCGGAUUUAUUGGGUUUAAAGGGUGCGUAGGUGGCCUGUUAAGUCAGGGGUGAAAGACGGUAGCUUAACUAUCGCAGUGCCCUUGAUACUGAUGGGCUUGAAUGAACUAGAGGUAGGCGGAAUGUGACAAGUAGCGGUGAAAUGCAUAGAUAUGCCACAGAACACCAAUUGCGAAGGCAGCUUACUAUGGUUUUAUUGACACUGAGGCACGAAAGCGUGGGGAUCAAACAGG
rnacentral:rRNA from 1 species